UUGGAAUGGAUCGAGCAUUUCAAUUGUUCAAGUUGUUUUUUACUUCCUGUCGAUCACUGAUUAAUGCAUUGUUAUGUUUCUAGUUUUGCAGUUUGUGGUCAGUGCCUGCUUUUCCAUUUCCUUCUGCUGCAGCUUCACAGUAAAAGCCGUCCAAUCGCCAGCGCUUUAUUUUGAAGUAGCCACAGGAAACGCGUUUGCCAGUGAGCCCAGCACAUACCAGCGCCGUUCAUCAAAAACAGGUUUAACAAAAACAAGACGAGGGGUGUUCUCGGCAUCUUCUGACACCGGGUCAAUUUGAAAUAUUGCAGGGAGUAAUGUAACAAGAAGGAGCCGCCACAGUGAGCUGUUAGAUGAAGAACUACAGGCGACAGGCUGGACACCUCCAACUUCUCUCAGAGUUUCACUUCCUGCUCCUCCAUGAUUACCUGCCCCAGCUGUGACAGUCUUCACCUGUGUGCUUCCCUUUGUGUGUCGACAACAGAACGUGGACCUUACCUGUUUGGAAUAAUCAAUCGCGAUUGCUGCCUCGGACCAGAGUGAUGAAAGAACUGAACUCCUCGGAAUCUCCCUGGAGGAAAGAGAGAGAAGGAGAGAGA